rnacentral:rRNA from 1 species
UACGUAGGUGGCAAGCGUUGUCCGGAAUUAUUGGGCGUAAAGGGCUCGCAGGCGGUCUUCUAAGUCUGAUGUGAAAUCUUGCGGCUUAACCGUAAGCGGUCAUUGGAAACUGGAGGACUUGAGUACAGAAGAGGAGAGUGGAAUUCCACGUGUAGCGGUGAAAUGCGUAGAGAUGUGGAGGAACACCAGUGGCGAAGGCGACUCUCUGGUCUGUAACUGACGCUGAGGAGCGAAAGCGUGGGGAGCAAACAGGAUUAGAUA